rnacentral:snoRNA from 1 species
CCCUCCUACAAAAGCAUGUCUUUGGUUCCUAGUCUUUAGACACAUAAGAAUUGGAGGCAAAGAAAUGUGGACCUGAAGAAGUCUAGGGUUAGCUUUCUUCUCAUGGGUUUAAGAUCAACAAUUCUACAUAA